UAUGGUGCCCAAUACGAUGGAGCCGAUGAUUGACCGCGGGACGGCGGUUUGGUUGGCAGUGGGUGGGGAUCCAGAGUGCCGGGGCUGCCUUUUCUCGCAGCGAUUCUGCUGAAGCAGUGAGUCGUUUUUUUUUUUUUUUGCGGCGACUCACGCAGUUUUUGAAGCUUGGAAAAAUCCGCGAUGCGUGCUUGUGUAUGCAGCAGCGGUCUUCCCCUUCUUUUCGACGCUUAGUGCGAUGCCUGUUGCGUUGAAUUGUAACCAUCGGUUGUGGGUUCAUUCUGUGACUGCUGUGGUCCAUUUUGCCACAGCAUGCCAUGCUUUGUUCUGUGAGAUUCACAGCUCGAGAUAUCCUUAUUCAGGGAAGAAGACGUACCCCAGAGAGGCAAAUAAAACAUGACUAGUAAAAAUCCUCAAUCCUUGUGUUUGUAGCAGCAUGAUGAAACCAUCGAUCUACCCGAAUAAAUGACCUUGGUCGUCAUCGCCUCCUGGGGUCCUCAUGUUAUAGUCACGAGGCCAGGAUUGAUGGAGGCAGCCAUACUUUGAUGCUCGGAGAGACAAAGUUAAAAAAAAUAAAAAAAUAAAAAAAUAAAAAAUAGUACCCUCAUCAGAGGCAAUAAUGCUAAAGGACAGGGAAUGGCGCAUCGCCAAGUGGACGGUGCUCGUGACUCCCCUAACUGCUCGAAACGCAUGUCCGUCUGCAGCUCUUCCACUUGGUGCUCUCAGACUGGUGCGUUUUCAAACGCCGUGGAAGUGGGUUUUAGUCCAUUCGUGGUGAUGCACCAUUUCAGAUUCCGUGGAAGCUCACAUCAAGUUGCAUUUGACUGGCGUCGCUCUGAACAGGCCAGACUUGACAAAAAGCUCAAGAAUCGAACAUAACCAACGGUAGAGAGCGCUGUGAAGAAAUUAACAGGAUUUUAUGACUGGUGAGGAAGACAAGGGUGGAAAGUUCAUUCAAAGUAUGGGUAGACAUGCAGCUGCUACACUGUAGACCUCCUACAUUGGGCGGGGUCCACACCAAGUGCAUAACGCUAACAAGUAGCCAGAAGAGCAUAUCUCUAAUGCGUCAGGAAUAUUUAACUGAAAACAACUGUACAUCGAAAAUUAUAUUCUCACAGGGUCCUCAGUAACUUUUUGGAGGAGCAUUCGAAUGAUGGGAUGCCUGGGAUUGAUUUCAAGGAUGCGCUUGCUCUUCAUUUGUGAUACCUUGGAGGGGUCAACAAGGG